rnacentral:rRNA from 1 species
UGUACCAGUUGUCGCGCCAGAGGCAGCGCUGGGUAGCUACGUUCGGAUGGGAGAAAUGCUGAAGGCAUCUAAGCGUGAAACCCUCCCCAAGAUGAGAUUUCCCGAGUCGUAAGGCUCCUGAAGGCUCCUGGAAGAUUACCAGGUCGAUAGGCCAGGUGUGUAAGGUCAGCGAUGGCCUUAGCUAACUGGUACUAAUCAGCCGUGCGGCUUGACCUU